rnacentral:rRNA from 1 species
GACAGAGGUGCCAAGCGUUAGGCGGAAUCACUGGGCUUAAAGCGUGUGUAGGCGGAUCGUUAAGUACCUUGUGAAAUCCCACGGCUCAACCGUGGAACUGCUGGGUAUACUGGCGAUCUUGAGCCACCUAGGGGCGAGCGGAACAAGCGGUGGAGCGGUGAAAUGCGUAGAUAUCGCUUGGAACGCCAAUGGUGAAAACAGCUCGCUGGGGGUGUGCUGACACUGAGACACGAAAGCCAGGGGAGCGAACGGG